rnacentral:rRNA from 1 species
CUACGGGCGGCUCCAGUAGGGAAUUUUCCACAAUGGGGGCAACCCUGAUGGAGCAACGCCGCGUGCAGGAUGAAGGCCUUCGGGUUGUAAACUGCUUUUAUAUGUGACGAAUAUGACGGUAGCAUAUGAAUAAGGAUCGGCGUAACUCCGUGCCAGCAGCCGCGGUCAUACGGAGGAUCCAAGCGUUAUCCGGAAUUACUGGGCGUAAAGAGUUGCGUAGGUGGCAUAGUAAGUAGAUAGUGAAAGCGUGUGGCUCAACCAUACUCACAUUAUCUAAACUACUAAGCUAGAAGAUGAGAGAGGUACCUGGAAUUCCCAGUGUAGGAGUGAAAUCCGUAGAUAUUGGGAGGAACACCGAUGGCGUAGGCAGGGUACUGGCUCAUUCUUGACACUAAGGCACGAAAGCGUGGGGAGCAAACGGGAUUAGAUACCCGAGUAGUC